rnacentral:rRNA from 1 species
AUUGAACGCUGGCGGCAGGCCUAACACAUGCAAGUCGAGCGAGCGGCGGACGGGUGAGUAAUGUAUGGGGACUGCCCGAUAGAGGGGGAUAACUACUGGAAACGGUGGCUAAUACCGCAUACUAUCGGAUAACCCAUAUGGGAUUAGCUAGUAGGUGGGGUAAAGGCUCACCUAGGCGACGAUCUCUAGCUGGUCUGAGAGGAUGAUCAGCCACACUGGGACUGAGACACAGCCCAGAAGCCAACGGAGGAAGCAGUGGGGAAUAUUGCACAGUGGGCGCAAGCGUGAUGCAGCCAUGCCGCGUGUAUGAAGAAGGCCUUAGGGUUGUAAAGUACUUUCAGCGCGGAGGAGGAACCCGCAGGAGAAGCACAGGCUAACUCCGUGCCAGCAGACGCGGUAAUAC